UUUUUUUUGUUUCUUAUUCCUUAGAAAUUUUUAUGCAGAAAAUGACAUCACCUAUGAAUAGAGACAGCUUUAUUUAUUCAUCUCUAAUUGCUCUGUAAAAACGGUUUCUGUAUUUUGGCUGUUGCAUUAGCUAAAACAUCCAGUACUAGGUUGGCAGGGAGCAGGGAAAUCAAAUCAGUGACUUUUUCAAUGUUAAGAAGUAUUCCAUCUCUCACUAUUAAGUGAGACAUUAGUGAUAGAUUACAGUUGUAGGUGCCCUGUGGUACAUUGAGAGUUUUCUUUUACUCCUCUAUUAUGAGAGUUUAUUGUGAAUAGAUGUUGAAAUUUAUCAAACCCUUUCCCUGCUGAUUAUGGGGAUUGGUGUGUGUAAAUUGACGUUGUAAUUUAUGUGUAAAUUCCCUGUGUAAAUUGAUGUUGAAAUUUAUCAAACCCUUUCCCUUUGUCUUUCUGUUUGGACUCUGAAUAUGGUGGGUCACAUUAAUUGCUUUUCAAAUAUGAAGAGCAUUAUUCUCUUGGGAUAAAUUUGGCCAUAAAGCAUUAUCAUCAAACCAUUAGGAUUAGGAUUAUUUUUAUAUUGCUUCACGCAAUUUGAUAAUGAUCUGCUCAUGAUUUUCCAUCUGUGAAUGAUGAGUACCAGUCUGUAGUCCAGCCUUUUCUCUACUGCCCCUGUUUAAUUUGGGUAUAGAGAGAUGCAGUCUUCAUAAAGUGACUUAGGAAAUGUUUCUUUUGCCUUCUAUUAUGUGAAAGGCAUUUUGUAAAAUGUGUUACUUCUUUAAAUAUUUGGUAUCGUUUGCCUGUGAACCAUCAGAAUUCUGAGGCUCUAUUCUUCAGAAGAUUUUAAAACUACAAAUUUCGCAUAUUUUGUAUUGAUGAGAGAGGACGCGAUGCUUAAAGGUGACCGGGUCUCGCUGGAACCUAGAAAUAAGACGUUUGGGAAGCAACAACUUAGUGGAGAGAAAGAGAAAUGGAACUCCACGAAUCAAGGAAGAGCCAGCUGAAAAACUAGAAACCACAGAGACACUAAAACCAGUGCAGAGGAAAGAAGGCUGCAGCUGGAAACACUAAUUCUGCCUCCAGAGUGGAUAUCCUGGUUCCACAAACACAAGGUAACCUGGACGGAGUUGGCAGCCCCAGAAAGAAGCAAGGAACCGGCAGCUCUGUCCCCAAGAAAAGCCCACAGUUGCUGUGCACUGCAAAUAGACUGAAGUCUUACUGCGUAGCAGAGAAAAAAAAACCAGAAAAAUGAAGAAGCAAACAAUUGAAAAGAAACAACAAAAGCAACAUGACAGCCACCACCACCACCACAACAAAAGCAACAUGACAAUACAGGAUUUCAAAACAAGACAGGAAUUUGACAGAGAUGAUACGUUGCAUAUCAUGAUCCUCAAAGCGGUUGCUCAGGUACCAGGUACUUCAUUCUCCCCGUUCUCCUCGCUUCUCUAGUUUACCAAAGCUGUGAGUGUCCUUUGUCCUCCAGGCUCGCUUCUACUGUAUUUCUCUUCAUCUGUCUCCCUGUUUUGUCCCCUAUCCCUCUUAAAUUUCCCUACCAUAGGAUAAAACCAUUAUAUGAAAAGUAAAUCCUUUGCAUACAAGCUCCUGAUUUAUACUGUUUAUUGUUAGAUAACUAGAUCUUACCCAGUGAUUGAGGAGACCAUGUUAAUAGUUACAGUGGUUUGUCACUUUUUAAACUGUACACAUCACUAUUAUUAUUGCUCAUUGUUCCACUCCAGCCAGAAUGUCAUACCUGUUGUAAUCAGUUGUUUUCGCUUGUACAUCAACACUGUGAUUGUUUGGUACUGGACCAUCACCAUAGUCCAGUACCAAAGGGCUGGGCACUGAGUCAAUUAGAUAGUGACAUCUCAUCUCCUUAAUAAAUUGGGAGGAUAGGAUGUUGGGCAAGAUACAAAAAUCAAGAGCUUCCUACACCUGCAAAACAUCUCUGAAGAGCAGACAUUUCCUAGGAAGACCACAAUACUAAUGAUAAAGUUAUCUGAUACAAGAAAUGUAUAAGUCUCAACACAGACAACAAAAUUAAAUUUAAAAAAUAGUAAAUGACAAGACACAAAAGCAAAACCCAAUGCCAGAACUGCAACCCACCCAGGACAAGUCCAGGGGACAAAGCAGGGGAAAAUAGAAGGCACCUUCCUCAAGUCUCUGAAACGAUAGCAGCAGAAGUAAAAAAAAAAAAAAAAAAAAA